UACGGAGGGUGCAAGCGUUGUCUGGAUUUAUUGGGUUUAAAGGGUGCGUAGGCGGCUAUUUAAGUCAGUGGUGAAAUCCUGCAGCUUAACUGUAGAACAGCCAUUGAUACUGGAUAGCUUGAGUACAGACGAGGUAGGCGGAAUUUAUGGUGUAGCGGUGAAAUGCAUAGAUACCAUAAAGAACCCCUAUUGCGAAGGCAGCUUACUAGGCUGUAACUGACGCUGAGGCACGAAAGCGUGGGGAUCAAACAGG
rnacentral:rRNA from 1 species